rnacentral:lncRNA from 1 species
GAGGUGCCAUGGUGGGGCUGUGAGGGGAGAGGUGCCAUGGUGGGGCUGUGAGGGGAGAGGUGCCAUGGUGGGGCUCUGAGGGGAUAUGUGCCAUGGUGGGCAGUGAGGACAGGUGCCAUAGUGAGGGGAGAGAUGCCACGGUGGGCAGUGAGGGACAGUGCCAUGGUGAAGGAAGAUGUGCCAUGGUGGGACUGUGCAUGGUCACCACGGCUCAGGUGGGCUGGGGAGCUCUGCAUCCAGGCAGCAGGGAGUGGGAGAAAAGACAAACCUCUCCCAGUUCAGGCUGCACUCUGAGAUUGAAGUAGUUGCUGUGAGAGCAGUGAGGAUGUGUCUCACCUCUGCCAAGCUGAACAAACUGCUGCAAAGAGAGUGCUGAUACCCUGCAGUUCCUGGUCCAAAAUGAAAACUCUUCACCCCAUUGCAGCUCAGCAGCUCAUGGUUUUCCUUCCUGUGUGAGAACCCAGGGGCUGACAAAAGUUAGGCAUAUAGAGCUGCCCCUGUUCUUUUUUCUAACAUGAAAAUGUUUCAUGCAAUCAGGAGAGCACAAAGUGGUUGUUGUUCCUGUGCUGUCCUUGGUUUAUCCCUGCUCCAGAACACUGCUGUGUGCACCUUCCUGCUGGAGGUGUCUGUCUUGAAUGUCCCAGUGGGAAGAGAACAAACAGUGGGAAGAUGAACUAAAGAAACAGGUGUGCCCAGGACAGACGACACUGAGCUCUCCCCAGGGGAUAACAAGAGUGCCUUGGAGCUGUCCCAAAGGGAAAUGCCACCAAGGUGUCCCCAGGAGCCAAGCAGAGUGACUGGGAGGCAUCCCAGGGCCAAGACUACCACAAGAAAGAGCUGUCCCAAGGGGAGAGUGACAGUGGCAAAGAGCUGUCCCAACAGGAUAACAGCAGCAACAAUAAGCUUUCCCAAGAAGAAGGCAGGUAUGACAAAGAGCUGUCUUUGGGGAAGGCUGUAAUGUUCAAGUCCCUGUGCCCAUGGGAAGCGGAUGGGGACAAAGGACUCUUCCAAUGGCAGUGAACUGUCCCAAAGGGCGGCAAACAGCGUCCAGAGAGCUGCUGCCUGUCUGGGGAAAGCAGCGCUCCUG